rnacentral:rRNA from 1 species
AUUGAACGCUGGCGGAAUGCUUUACACAUGCAAGUCGAACGGCAGCACGGACUUCGGUCUGGUGGCGAGUGGCGAACGGGUGAGUAAUGUAUCGGAACGUGCCCAGUCGUGGGGGAUAACGUAGUGAAAAUUACGCUAAUACCGCAUACGAUCUAUGGAUGAAAGCGGGGGAUCGCAAGACCUCGCGCGAUCGGAGCGGCCGAUAUCAGAUUAGGUAGUUGGUGGGGUAAAGGCCCACCAAGCCAACGAUCUGUAGCUGGUCUGAGAGGACGACCAGCCACACUGGAACUAAGACACGGUCCAGACUCCUACGGGAGGCAGCAGUGGGGAAUUUUGGACAAUGGGCGAAAGCCUGAUCCAGCCAUUCCGAGUGCAGGAUGAAGGCCCUCGGGUUGUAAACUGCUUUUGUACAGAACGAAAAGGUUUCUACUAAUACUAGGAGCUCAUGACGGUACUGUAAGAAUAAGCACCGGCUAACUACGUGCCAGCCGCCGCAGUA